GUGGGGAAUCUUAGACAAUGGGGGAAACCCUGAUCUAGCCAUGCCGCGUGAGCGAUGAAGGCCUUAGGGUUGUAAAGCUCUUUCAGCUGGGAAGAUAAUGACGGUACCAGCAGAAGAAGCCCCGGCUAACUCCGUGCCAGCAGCCGCGGUAAUACGGAGGGGGCUAGCGUUGUUCGGAAUUACUGGGCGUAAAGCGCGCGUAGGCGGACCAGAAAGUUGGAGGUGAAAUCCCAGGGCUCAACCUUGGAACUGCCUUCAAAACUCCUGGUCUGGAGUUCGAGAGAGGUGAGUGGAAUUCCGAGUGUAGAGGUGAAAUUCGUAGAUAUUCGGAGGAACACCAGUGGCGAAGGCGGCUCACUGGCUCGAUACUGACGCUGAGGUGCGAAAGCGUGGGGAGCAAACAGGAUUAGAAACCCCGGUAGUCC
rnacentral:rRNA from 1 species